UACGGAGGGUGCAAGCGUUAUCCGGAUUCACUGGGUUUAAAGGGUGUGUAGGCGGGCAGUUAAGUCAGUGGUGAAAUCUCCGGGCUCAACCCGGAAACUGCCAUUGAUACUAUCUGUCUUGAAUUCUGUUGAGGUGGGCGGAAUAUGUCAUGUAGCGGUGAAAUGCAUAGAGAUGCGGAGGAACACCGAUGGCGAAGGCAGCCCCCUGGGCUGACACUGACGCUCAGGCACGAAAGCGUGGGGAGCAAACAAGG
rnacentral:rRNA from 1 species